CUUUAUUGGAAAGUUGCACCCAAGACGGAUCACCGAUGAACACACUGCACAUGACACUGAAUAAUGGCAUUCACAGUUUCGAAGUUGUCAGCCCUAACUGCUUAUUUUCAGAUAAUAAAAGGACCAUAAAGCUCUGAUGAAUGAGCUGUUCAGACACGUUGAGAUAUUUUAAGAUUAUUCAACAAGGAAAUAACAGGUGGAGGAUUUCUGCGCACAACUAAAGAGUCAUAUGUGCUCACCGACUCUGGACUCGGAAGGAGUUUGGAAAUCACGUCCUGCAGCGGCACACACAAAGAGGAGGCAGCUCUCCGCAUCAGCCCCCUCCGUUCCCCCCUCCAUGCUGGGUUGCUUUCUGACUCCUUCCGAUAACGAGAAGCUCCUUUUUCUUUGAGGAAUCCUGUUUCAUUAGAAUGUUCCAGUUCUAUUUUGGAGUGAGCCAAAGUCCCCUUUCUCUGACUUCCUAGGUCUCUCUUCAAAACUACCUCACAAGAGCUAUCUGCAUAAUUGCUUAAAGAUUUUACCGCAAAAUUAAUAUCCUUGCUGUGAACAACGGAACAGGGCAAAAACCAGGAUGACAGAGUCUGAGAUGAGGUGAAAAGCAAAUCCAAUUUUUCCUUGCACCAUAGAAACCUCGUCAGGACUAGCUUUAUCUGGGAAGGCCCCACACGUGAGUCUAUUUCAACAGGGUGCUGUUGAAACCCAGGUUCUCCUAACACAAGUUAGGAGAAGGGUCUAAGGUGCCUGAGGACUUGAGAGAAAAACAAUAAAAAGCAAUGUCAUUCCAUACAAAUGCAAUAGAAACGUACUAGUCUUAUCAGAAGAUUGCAAUUGAAUAUUUGAACAGAAAACCUGUACAAAUCAUUUAUAGAAAUUUUACAGAGCAAAUUAAUGGAUUGUAAAAGAAUCUUCUUUCUGAAUCCCUCUCUUGCCUUUACUCUUGGAGUAUUAUGGGUAGAAGGCCUACCUAGCGCUAUUUACAAGUACCAAGGUGCAAGGAUUUCCCAGCUGCAAUUCAUUCAACAAAUAUUUAUUGAGCUCUCAAUCUAUGCUAGGCACAAUUCUGGGAUUUGGGACUAGAACAUUGAAUAAGGAAGGUGAACUCCUUGAUUUCAUGGACCAUCUAUUCUAAUGAGGGAAGAAAGAUAAUAAACUGAUAACUGAGUAAACAAGAAAAUCAUUGAAUAAUGCAGAGCCUAAUUUCCCAGUGGACUGACGACUCUCUUCUAAUGAAUAAAAUGUGGGUGAAGUAACCAUAUGUAACUUCUGACACAAGGUCAUAAAAGGCAUUAUGGUUUCCUCUUUGCUCUAAUUCUUGGAUCACUUGCUUUGGAAGAAGCCAGUUGCUAUCAAGAGGAUGCUCAAGCAGCCCUCUGGAGAGGUCCGUGUGGGGAGGAAUCGAGGCGUCCUGCGAAGAGCUAUGUGAAUGAGCUACCUCGAGAACGGAUCUUAGGGGCCUCAGCUGGGCCAUCAAGUGACUGUAACUCUAGUGACACCUUGAUUGCAAUUUCUUGAGAAACUGAGCCAGAACCAUCCAGAUAAGCUGCUGAUAAUAUCCCGACCUACGGAAACAGUGAGAUAACAAAUAUUUGUUCCUGGAAGCCUCCACGUUUAGAGAUAAUUUGCUGUGUAAGAGGAGACAACUAAUACAGCCUCUGCUCCGGGGACAUGGCAUUGUACUUUAUUCCCUGAUGCGUUCUACUCACCAUAUCUGGAAAGUCCCUCCAGAAUGAGCAGAACCCCUUGAAUUUCUCACCUGUGUGGCUGAUAGCUUGUGAUUCUCCUGACCCAAUGGUGGAGCUGCAAUGGUAGAAAACCUCACCAGCGAAGCGUACUCAGAGGCUCUCUGUUGAUGCCAGCCCUCCAAAUUUGGGCUGUUUCCUCAAAGUGCAGCUUGCUACCUUCUCAGAAGGCAAUACUGCUAUUAAUCUUUGAAGUUAUCUAUUCCUCUGGUCUCGGACAGUGGAUUCCCUUACCCUGCAAUGAUGAAGUAAAGUUAGACAGGAAUGUGGCUUUGCUCCAAAAUGCGCAUAUACAAAGCAAUGAGGAGCUAGUUCUGCACCUGCUUUUCUCCCC
ensembl:lncRNA